rnacentral:rRNA from 1 species
AACAAACGCUGGCGGCAGGCUUAACACAUGCAAGUCGAACGCCCCGCAAGGGGAGUGGCAGACGGGUGAGUAACGCGUGGGAACAUACCCUUUUCUACGGAAUAGCUCUGGGAAACUGGAAUUAAUACCGCAUACGCCCUACGGGGGAAAGAUUUAUCGGGGAUGGAUGAGCCCGCGUUGGAUUAGCUAGUUGGUGGGGUAAAGGCCUACCAAGGCGACGAUCCAUAGCUGGUCUGAGAGGAUGAUCAGCCACAUUGGGACUGAGACACGGCCCAAACUCCUACGGGAGGCAGCAGUGGGGAAUAUUGGACAAUGGGCGCAAGCCUGAUCCAGCCAUGCCGCGUGAGUGAUGAAGGCCUUAGGGUUGUAAGGCUCUUUCACCGAUGAAGAUAAUGACGGUAGUCGGAGAAGAAGCCCCGGCUAACUUCGUGCCAGCAGCCGCCGUAAAAC